GUCACUGAUGUCACUAAAUGGCCAAAUCUGAUUGGUCAUAGAUUCAUAGAGGGACUACAAGGGUCAUCUAAGUCCAAUCCCACAAAAUGCAGGAAUCUUUGGGCCCAUGUGGGGUUCAAACCCACUACCUGGAGAAUAAGAGUCUCGUGCUCUACCAACUGAGCUAUCCCAGCUGGUCAUGUGGAUAAAUGAGAUCAUAGUGCUCAUUAUGUGAUUCUCGAGGUCAUAAAGGCCUUUUGAACCAUCAUCCCAACUUGUUACCAGUUUUCCUGCCAGCCAGGUGCUGAUUUGGGAAGGAUUCUAGAGGAAGAGGACAGUGGAAACAGCCGUGGCUAAUUCACUUGAAUCCCAGCUCAUAGACUAGAUAAGGGUGUUGCUGCUGUGGUACCCAAGGCAACACCAAAGGGAUUUAUCACUAGUUGGAUGAAGGUGUCACUUCUUCAAGUUUGUGUUGUUGAAUGUAGUUAUUUGGAAGGAAAGAAAGAGGAGAAUGUAAGGGAUGUAAUAUUGAGAACUGGAAUUGUGUGUGUGUUUUAGUGCCCAAGAGUGAAGGUCUCAGUUGUCAUAUUUUCGUGUGUCAUGAAGUUGCUUAAUAUCACUCAGUGUGAGCAACUGAACUGGUACAGAGUUAGACCAUGCCUGGGGGCGGGGGAGAUGGAGACAGAGUGGCUAUGUUGCUGUUUGUGUGGUAGUGUAUUAUCAUAGAUGGAGGUGGGAAUGAGCUGGUUGUGAAUUAUGUUUAAUGUUGCCAGAGAUUUUUGUACACCAGAUAUAUACUGUGACAAAUGGUUGGCCGGCUGGGGAUUAGCUGCGCUAUGAUAUGGUCUGCGGGAAUGGUAGAGUAUGUGAGAAACUUCAAGGGACAGUUGUUUUGUUUGGAUGCAAAUGAUGCUUUCAUAUCUGAUUUUUUAUUUUUUAUUGCACCUGAUUCUUACUUAAAAUGCUUUUUGAUGUUCAAUAGGAUAGUUUGGCUCCUUCUUAAUUAUGCCGCUCUCAGUGUGGAUCUUUAUGGUAUUUUGUGUUUGCUUUUCACUUGUAAUAUUUUAUUUUGAUAUCUCGUAAUGUUGUAUUCAAUGUUUUCAGAUAUGUUGUAAGCUAGUCCAGUUAUUUCCUAUCUGCUUUGGCCUGUGAUUUUCAUUCUGUAACAAUUUAUGUAUUCAGCAAUGUUUUGAUUUUGUAGUAAAACUGCACCUUCCUUGAUCCUAAGCUCUUGUCUACUGUCUAAGAAACCAAUUCCCCCAUAUACUAGGGUAAAGUAUAAUCUCCCCCUCGGCAUACUGUGACUUUGAGCUGAAAAGUCUUAUUACACAUGUGGCUCACAUGUUCACAUGCAUGCUACAUCAUGUGAUGCAAUGAAAAGUAGGGCUUUUGUGAUUCCCCAGUUUCUUUCCUACAUUGAUGUUCUGCUUUUCUUCCAGUGACUUCAGUGUGCUCCAACCAGCCUUCUCUUCAUGACAACCUUUUUAACUUUGUAUGUUUGCAACAGCAGCCAGGACAAUAAACAUGGAUGACGAGGUGAAGUGGAUUAAACAUGGG
rnacentral:lncRNA from 1 species